AAGGUCCAACCUCACAUGUCCUGUAUUGCUGAAGGAGGGAUAUAUGAGGUCAGACCUAUC
rnacentral:pre_miRNA from 1 species